rnacentral:rRNA from 1 species
GAUGAACGCUAGCGGCAGGCUUAACACAUGCAAGUCGAGGGGCAGCACGAUGUAGCAAUACAUUGGUGGCGACCGGCGCACGGGUGCGUAACACGUAUGGAACUUGCCCUAUACUGGGAGAUAGCCCUCCGAAAGGAGGAUUAAUAUCCCAUAAUAAACGAGGUGGCAUCACUUUGUUUUGAAAGCUCCGGCGGUAUAGG